rnacentral:rRNA from 1 species
UACGUAGGUGGCGAGCGUUGUCCGGAUUUACUGGGCGUAAAGAGCGCGCAGGCGGUCGAAUAAGUCGAAUGUGAAAGCCCCCGGCUCAACUGGGGAGGGUCAUUCGAUACUGCUCGACUUGAAGGCAGGAGAGGGAAGUGGAAUUCCCGGUGUAGUGGUGAAAUGCGUAGAUAUCGGGAGGAACACCAAUGGCUAACGCAGGCACCUGGGCCUUGACUGACGCUGAGGCGCGAAAGCUAGGGGAGCAAACAGG